rnacentral:tRNA from 1 species
CGAGGUGGCGGAAUGGUAGACGCGGCGGACUUAAAAUCCGUUGCCCUUUAAAGGCGUGUGGGUUCGAGUCCCUCCCUCG